GAUGAACGCUGGCGGCGUGCCUAAUACAUGCAAGUCGAGCGAACAGACGAGGAGCUUGCUCCUCUGAUGUUAGCGGCGGACGGGUGAGUAACACGUGGAUAACCUACCUAUAAGACUGGGAUAACUUCGGGAAACCGGAGCUAAUACCGGAUAAUAUAUUGAACCGCAUGGUUCAAUAGUGAAAGACGGUUUUGCUGUCACUUAUAGAUGGAUCCGCGCCGCAUUAGCUAGUUGGUAAGGUAACGGCUUACCAAGGCAACGAUGCGUAGCCGACCUGAGAGGGUGAUCGGCCACACUGGAACUGAGACACGGUCCAGACUCUUACGGGAGGCAGCAGUAGGGAAUCUUCCGCAAUGGGCGAAAGCCUGACGGAGCAACGCCGCGUGAGUGAUGAAGGUCUUCGGAUCGUAAAACUCUGUUAUUAGGGAAGAACAAAUGUGUAAGUAACUAUGCACGUCUUGACGGUACCUAAUCAGAAAGCCACGGCUAACUACGUG
rnacentral:rRNA from 1 species